rnacentral:rRNA from 1 species
ACGUAGGAGGCGAGCGUUAUCCGGAUUUACUGGGCGUAAAGCGUGUGUAGGCGGUUUGAUAAGUUGGAUGUGAAAGCUCCUGGCUUAACUGGGAGAGGUCGUUCAAAACUAUCAGACUUGAGAGUGGUAGAGGGAGGUGGAAUUCCGCAUGAAGUGGGGAAAUGCAUAGAUAUGCAGGAGAACACAAGUGGCGAAAGCGGCCACCCGGCAUAUUUCUCACGCUCAGACACGAAAGCUAAGGAAGCAAACGG